UACGUAGGGGGCAAGCGUUAUCCGGAAUUAUUGGGCGUAAAGAGUACGUAGGUGGCAACCUAAGCGCAGGGUUUAAGGCAGUGGCUCAACCAUUGUUCGCCCUGCGAACUGGGAUGCUUGAGUGCAGGAGAGGAAAGCGGAAUUCCUAGUGUAGCGGUGAAAUGCGUAGAUAUUAGGAGGAACACCAGUGGCGAAGGCGGCUUUCUGGACUGUAACUGACACUGAGGUACGAAAGCGUGGGGAGCAAACAGG
rnacentral:rRNA from 1 species